rnacentral:tRNA from 2 species
CGGUGUCGAGCCCGUCGGGCAGGGCCGCGAUGACGUCGUGGAGCUGCGCCCGGUCGAGGGCGUCGGCGAGUUCGGUCUCCGUCGCAUCGG